GUUUCUGCUAAUUUAGUAAUGAAGCCUAUCCAGGUUGAUGAUAGCUUAUUAUUUUCAUAAGUAAAAAAACAAACAAAUGAGAUUAUAUAUAUAUAUAUAAAUAUAUAUUAAAAAAAGACACAGUAUUUAUCGUAGCACUAGUGGUCCAGCACCUCUUGGGUGAGGCUGUCCAGACACCAUGUGUUUUUAUUUGAGUCCAACUCAUUAAAAAAGAAUCAUCUCUGUCACUUCAAUCAAGUGAUUUGUUUAUUUCAGUUUAGGUUCCCCUUUUGUUGAGCCUUAGGUUCAGCUGCUGCCCCGGAAAUUUGGGUUUUGGGGAAGGCUGCUUGGUGGGCAAGGUCAGACUAAGCUGUUUGCAGCAUCCCAAGAGGUGUGGGUCUCUAGGCCCAUUACAGAUAAACAAAACAGCUGCAGGUUCAGGGAUUCAGGGAAGUGAGGUGGCCCAGGGGCACACAGCAAAGCAAGGGAACACAGGGUCUGUAGCCAGCAUGCUGUCUACCACUCUACCCUGCCUCUCACUGCCUGCCUUGCCCCUCUCUCCCAUCUCAAUGCUUGCCUUCCCUUGUUAAGAUGGCCAAAUAAUUCAUUACUCAGUUUAUUGCCUGGAAACUACCUGCCUUCAACCCAAGAGCUGCUGUGUGCCAGGCUGCCAAGAGGAAGCCAUUCCCAAGACAGAGGCCCUUAAGGACAGGGCUGUUUUCUUCCUUUCGGAGUCUUCACCAUCACUGCCCAACUCUGAUGGGAUUGAUGCUUUCUGUGGAGAAGUUGGUACCUCAAGGAGGCUGAUUCUAGGACCACUGGUCCCAGAGUGGAUGGAAACUUUGACUUCCUGGUCCUGAUCUCCCUACAGCUAAGGAAAGCUGCUCCCUUCAGCUUGGCCCCAGCGACUCUUAGGAAGGGGAGAUUCUAUGGGCCUUACAAAUGUCCCACCAGCUGUUUCACAUGGAUCCUCACAGCUGGUGGCACAACAGCAACAACAAAACCCACUAUUACAGGGCUGAGAUGCUGCCAGGACAUGGGUAGACCAUCUGUGGAGGGGACUGUCUGCCAAGGAAGAGGAGGGUCUAUGCAGAGGACACCUAGAUGGGCCAGGAUUUUACCUGCUUCACAGGGUGAGUGAAAAGCCUAGGCAACCUCUGCAAAUAUUAGGGUCAACUGUGGCAAACGUUUCCAGUCUGUAUCUGAGCAGGGUAAGCUUUUGUUCUGUUGGUGGACACAGAAAUCAGUGGUAGAACCUGAGAUGUUCUGUGUUCACCAGGCCUCACAAGGCCCACAGCUGGACAAAAUUGAGUUAGACCAUCUGUUAGUAAGGGACUAGGGCCUUGACUGAGAUCUCUCAAAAUUUUGCUUUAGGAGCUAAUCCUACAGGCUACUAUGUUUUCUCGGUUCCUGUCAGGGCCUUGGUUAGCAGCUCAUCAGGAGGUCAUGUCCCGUGUAAAAUUUCAUUUGUCCAAGGCUGGACCCGAGCUCUAAACUCAGGUUGGAAAUAUCAGGCUGUUAACAAUUUACAGGCCUCACAUUUGGAAAUGAAAACCAGAGGCAUUUGCAGAACAGUGGAACUUAGAAAACAUCUCCAGCAGUCCUCUCCUUUUACAGUGAAAGAAUCAGGUCCAGGAAAUUAAGUGACUUGACCAAAGCCGCACAGCAAGUAGUGGCAGAGCCAGGACUAACUAGUUCUGUGGGUUACACAGUCCUGUCUAGACCUAAAGCAAAAUGGCAAAUGAGCUUUGUAAGGGUUCAGCAGUGCCUGAGCAGCUGACACCUUUAGGGGUGUGACAAGGGGAGGGAUGGGUGCUGGGACAUGGGUUGUGGAGUGGCUGAGAGGGCCUUGGAUGGCUUGGGACUGCUGUGUGCUGCACUGGGCUGUGUGUCCACCUGGCUCACACUUGGUACCCAUGGCCACCUCCCCAUUUUCUGUGCCUUAUCUCACUGUUUCAGCCAAGUCCAAGUUGUUUACUCUGUUCCUCUCCAGAGAGGCUUUCUGUCCUAGUUGGACCGCUCACUUUGGGGACAUAAGUCUUUGUCCCACAAGCUGUGGGGAGGGCCAAAAUCAAGCUGCUGGAGCCAGUUCUUAGUCCAGUCCUGCUGCCAGAGGAGACCCAUAUGCAUCCCCAAUCCUAUUAGCCCGUUUCCAGGUUGGAAGCAGCUUAGUAAAGGGCUGGACCUGACCCUGGUGUGCAAAAGGAGGACCUGGCUGGGUCCAGUCCUGAGGUAGCACAUUUCCUAACUCACCUUCCCUUUGAGGCACAGAUGGUAGCUCCUUGCAGAUCAAGGGCCAAGUUGGCAGAUGACUCAGAGUCACUCCUCCAUCCCUUCCUCCUAGGGUCUGGGGCUAGGUGCACACUGGGAGCAGGGCUUCACACGCUAAAGAAGUAAGGGUUGCCUGGCUACCCAGCGCCUUCCCAGGCCUUAAGCACAAAGAUGAGGCAGAGGACUGUUGGGGCUGAGCGUUCCUUUGGUUGCUCACAACUCAGGUAUGCAUGUCAUUAGGCAGCUGGACAGCAGAGCCCGACUUCACCACCAACCACUGGCACUUGGACCUGUGGCCAGAUGGUGGCUUCUGGCUGUCCCAGUGCCCACCUCUGCAUAGGUUCCCUCCAUCAUCAACUACAGCUGAAACAGGCAUCCUCCACAUUGUGUACACUGGUUCUGCCUUUGUCCUUGCAAAUUGAUAUUCAGCAUUAGCAUGAAACUUGUGGUGUGAGAGGGUUGACAGAAUUCUAACACAAACAUCCUAUUAAAUUGUACUUGAGAUGAAAAAAUUCCUGUUGUAUUUUGACAGAAUUAUUUUUAUUAAAAUACACAUCCAUGAGCAA
rnacentral:lncRNA from 1 species